rnacentral:rRNA from 1 species
GUGCCAGCAGCCGCGGUAAUACAGGGGGUGCAAACGUUGCUCGGAAUUAUUGGGCGUAAAGCGCGCGUAGGCGGCUACCUAAGUCGGAUGUGAAAGCCCCUGGCUUAACCGGGGAAGUGCACCCGAAACUGGGUAGCUAGAGUGCAAAAGAGGGUCGCGGAAUUCCCAGUGUAGAGGUGAAAUUCGUAGAUAUUGGGAGGAACACCGGUGGCGAAGGCGGCGACCUGGGUUGACACUGACGCUGAGGCGCGAAAGCGUGGGGAGCAAACAGGAUUAGAUACCCGGGUAGUCC